CCCCCCCCCUUCAAAACUUUAGUCAUUCCUUCAUUGUCCUCUGAGUUUGAUUCUUUGUCCUCAGUGUGUUUUUCAUUUGUGUGUUUACCAGUUGGUACAGAUUUGUCUCCCGAAUCAUUCAUGAAGCCAACUCUCAGUCCUGAACAGACUUUUGAGUUAAACCUGACAUCCACAUGACGUUCAUGCUGAAGACAUACUGGGUGUCUCUGAGAGCACCACAUUGUUACAUUUGUUCUGACCAUCUGGAUAGAGGUCAUCCGCUGCCUGUAAAAAGGGUUUUACAGUAUAUUUAUGUCAAUGAAACUGGAGUAAAUAAUAAGGUGAACUGCUGUUAGACAUGCACCAUACAGUGUACAUUUCAGCUGGUUAGUGUUCCACUUCUUGGGGCAAAUGUGACGUCUUUAAAAUGUUGUAUUUAUUUAAUAUUUAUCAAAAGGACGCAAAUGCUACUUGUUCGAGUCAAAUGAAGGGUUGUUGCUGAGCCUCUCCCCACCCAAACUUGCUGUAUACAUACUUGAUUUGAACACACAUGCUAAUGAAAACAGUAAGCGUUAGUUGCAGCCUAAAUAGCUCAUCUGUAUUAUGUCAACAGUUUGCUUCAUUUAAUAUUGUAUGUGGCGUUGUUCUCUUGUGCAGGGUGCAAAUGUUCCACCAAAACAAGUUCCUUCCCGAGACUAUUUAGCAGAGCCACCGUUUCUGCGUCCGGACCUUAGCGCCGCCCAAGACGAAUGUGAUUGGUUUAAAGAAAUGCAUUUUUUUUUCUCCUAGCCUGGAAUGUAACUGGGGUGUAGCCAGACCUUCCUCCACAGCGCUGUGGCGACAGGUCUGGCAAUGCGCUACUUGCACAUAUACCUGCAGACCUACACAGAGUUAUCAACAUUUGCACACAAGGGUGUUGUUAAAAGCAAGUAGAGUGGAGAGUGGGCACUCUAUUCAAUGGCCUUGACAAUCAGCUGUCGGGACCUGCAGGGCUUCUGUCAUGUAUCUGUGGCCAACCUGUAGUUUGUGUGGCGUGUGCGUCCUUGAACUGCAUCUGUCGGAGAGGUUGUGCAGCCUUGGUGAUCAGCGAUUUAACCAGUUUAGGGAAAUCAGUUUUCUCAGCCUUUAUCGCAAGCGAGAGAGACUGAUUCACAGAUUUACUGUGGCAGAAAAAGAGAUGGCCCGUGUGUUUCAUUCCAAAGUGUUGUUGGGAUUGCAGAGUCUGAUUUCCACAACUUGAUGUGGAUGUCAGUGGUCACCUGUCCCUUGGCUGCAACUCAUCAGUUUCAACUUUGUGGCCGCUGUUCUUUGUCAGUGACACUGCUGUUAACGCUGUGACUAAUGUGUAGCUUCGUCCUGGGCAGUGGCCGGGGCCAGCGUUUACCACGUGUUGGUUGGUUUUAUUUGCCCAGCCAUGUUUUGAUGAUAAAGCUAGACAGCUACACAGCAUUCCUUGAUAAUCCGGUAAAACAAGUGAAGUACUAUCUUACUGUUGAUCUCAUAAAGGAAUGUUAAAUAUCGUCUUUUUUUUGUGCGUCGCCCAUUUUGCAUAAACCGACUUGUUUAUCAAAUGAAAUAAAAGUUAGUUGUUAGUUGUAGAAAAGUGCAGAAAUCUCAUCGGCUGUUAAUGUCUGUGAUGAGUUAUUCGAUGUGUGUUGUGCUGCUGACUUUGUUUGGUGAACUUUACUUCCUUUUGUGCCCUGUUCUGUAAUAUUUGUGAUGUGUAUUUGCCUCUUGUACCCACUGAAGAUAGACUACUGUCUUGUAUGCCUGGACAACAGCUGAAGUACAACGCGUU